rnacentral:rRNA from 1 species
CACGUAGGGGGCGAGCGUUGUCCGGAUUUAUUGGGCGUAAAGAGCUCGUAGAUGGCUCGGUAAGUCGGGUGUGAAAUUUCGAGGCUCAACCUCGAGACGCCACCUGAUACUGCUGUGGCUAGAGUCCGGUAGGGGAGCGUGGAAUUCCUGGUGUAGCGGUGAAAUGCGCAGAUAUCAGGAAGAACACCCGUGGCUAAGGCGGCUCUCUAGUACGGUACUGACGCUGAGACGCGAAAGCGUGGGGAGCGAACAGG